rnacentral:rRNA from 1 species
GCAGCCACUCAUUCAAAGAGUGCGUAAUAGCUCACUGGUCGAGUGAUCCUGCGCCGAAGAUUUCCGGGGCUAAAACUUACUACCGAAGCUACGGCAUCAGUAAUGAUGGGUAGGGGAGCUUCCCAUACGGGUUGAAGCAUGACCGUAAGGACAUGUGGACAGUAUGGGAGUGAGAAUGUUGGCAUGAGUAGCGAGAUGUGGGUGAGAAUCCCACAGGCCGUAAACCCAAGGUUUCCAGGGGAAGGUUCGUCCGCCCUGGGUUAGUCGGGACCUAAGCUGAGGCCGAAAGGCGUAGGUGAUGGACAACAGGUUGAUAUUCCUGUACUACCGAUAACCGUUUGAGAGAAGGGAUGACACAGUAGGAUAAGCUAAGCACACUGUUGGUUAUGUGUGCCCAAGCAUUGAGGCAGUCAAAGUAGGCAAAUCCGCUUUGAUAAUGCUGGGAUGUGAUGGGGAGCGAAAUUUAGUAGCGAAGUAGCUGAUUUCACACUGUCAAGAAAAGUCUCUAUCGAGGUUAAAGGUACCCGUACCGCAAACCGACACAGGUGGGUGAGGAGAGUAUCCUAAGGCCAGCGAGAGAACUGUUGUUAAGGAACUCGGCAAAAUGACCCCGUAACUUAGGGAUAAGGGGUGCCACCAUCAGGUGGCCGCAGAGAAUAGGCCCAAGCGACUGUUUACCAAAAACAUAGGUUUCUGCUAAGUCGCAAGACGAUGUAUAGGAGCUGACGCCUGCCCGGUGCUGGAAGGUUAAGGGGAUCUGUUAGAGCAAUCGAAGCAGUGAACUUAAGCCCCAGUAAACGGCGGCCGUAACUAUAACGGUCCUAAGGUAGCGAAAUUCCUUGUCGGGUAAGUUCCGACCCGCACGAAAGGCGUAACGAUUUGGGCACUGUCUCAACAACAGACUCGGUGAAAUUGUAAUUCCGGUGAAGAUGCCGGAUACCUGCGACAGGACGGAAAGACCCCAUGGAGCUUUACUGUAGCUUGACAUUGGGUCUUGGUACUACAUGUACAGGAUAGGUGGGAGGCUUUGAAACCAGGACGCCAGUUUUGGCGGAGCCAUCCUUGGGAUACCACCCUUGUAGUACUGGGACUCUAACCAUAGGCCAUGAAUCUGGUCUUGGGACACUGUCAGGUGGGCAGUUUGACUGGGGCGGUCGCCUCCCAAAAGGUAACGGAGGCGCUCAAAGGUUCUCUCAGUACGGUCGGAAAUCGUACGUAGAGUGUAAAGGCAAAAGAGAGCUUGAUUGCAAGACAUACAGGUCGAGCAAGGAUGAAAAUCGGACUUAGUGAUCCGGUG